AGGGUCUGAUGACGAUGAUGACGAUGAUGAAGAUGAGGAUGAUGAAACUGGUGAUGCUGAUGAUGAUGAUGCCGAUGCUGGAGAGGACUUCUCGGGUGAAGAAGGCGAGGACGAUGACGAGGAUGAUGACCCUGAGGCGAACGGCGAUGAUGCUGGCGCGGGGAGCGAUGAUGAUGAUGGUGACGACGACGAUGAUGAUGGUGAAGACGGCGAGGAUGACGAUGAUGAUGACGAGGAUGAGGAUGAGGAGGACGAGGAAGAUGAGGACCAGCCACCGGCCAAGAAGAAGAAAUGAUCUGCCUUCCUGCUGUCAGUGUUUCAGUCCGUUAGUUUAUCUGCUGUCUAGAUGUUGAUUGAGCGGGUCUGGUACACACCGACCUAUGUAGCUUCUGUGUCUUGGUGGUUUGGUGUCUCAUAGGGUAGAACAUUGAACUUCUAAUGUUGUUUCCUGCGUUGUGCAAGUAGUCUUAACAUUUCGGUCUUGAUAUGCUGUGUUUAUUGGAGCUGUGAUACCAUUCAAUCUAAUUCUUGUUACUCCAUGUUGUCACAUGUUCUUUGAAUGGCUUUUGGUUUUACUGUAUGAAAUCCAAAUUAUUUUAUGCUUUUGGUGACUGCUAUUUGAAUGUUAGGAUUUGAAUAACCUGGAAGGAAAAGGCA
rnacentral:lncRNA from 1 species